rnacentral:rRNA from 1 species
ACCUGCGAUGCAUUAGCUAGUUGGUAAGGUAACGGGCUUACCAAGGCGAUGAUGCAUAGCCCGAGUUGAGAGACUGAUCGGCCACAUUGGGGACUGAGACACGGGCCCAAACUCCUACGGGAGGCAGCAGUAGGGAAUCUUCCACAAUGGACGAAAGUCUGAUGGAGCAAACGCCGCGUGAGUGAAGAAGGUUUUCGGAUCGUAAAGCUCUGUUGUUGGUGAAGAAGGAAUAGAGGUAGUAACUGGCCCUUUAUUUGACGGUAAUCAACCAGAAAGUCACGGGCUAACUACGUGCCAGCAGCCGCGGUAAAAU